UACGUAGGGUGCAAGCGUUGUCCGGAAUUAUUGGGCGUAAAGAGCUCGUAGGCGGUUUGUCGCGUCUGCUGUGAAAACGCGGGGCUCAACUCCGCGCCUGCAGUGGGUACGGGCAGACUAGAGUGCGGUAGGGGUGACUGGAAUUCCUGGUGUAGCGGUGGAAUGCGCAGAUAUCAGGAGGAACACCGAUGGCGAAGGCAGGUCACUGGGCCGCAACUGACGCUGAGGAGCGAAAGCAUGGGGAGCGAACAGG
rnacentral:rRNA from 1 species